rnacentral:tRNA from 1 species
GCCUGGCUGGCUUAGUUGGUGGAGUAUGAGACUCUUGAUCUCGGGGUUAUGAAUUUGAGUCCCAUGUUGGGUG